rnacentral:tRNA from 1 species
GGGGUUGUGGCUCAGUGGUAGAGUGCUGUCUGGCAUGUAUGAGGCCCUGGGUUUGAUCCUCAGCACCACA